rnacentral:rRNA from 1 species
AUACGAAGGGUGCAAGCGUUAAUCGGACUUACUGGGCGUAAAGCGCGCGCAGGCGGUCCUUUAAGUCUGAUGUGAAAGCCCACGGCUCAACCGUGGAGGGUCCUUGGAAACUGGGGGACUUGAGUGCAGAAGAGGAAAGUGGAAUUCCACGUGUAGCGGUGAAAUGGGUAGAGAUUUGGAGGAACACCAGUGGCGAAGGCGACUUGCUGGUCGGUAACUGACGCUGAGGCACGAAAGCGUGGGGAGCAAACAGGAUGAGAAACCCUGGGAGUCCACGCCGUAAACGAUGAGUGCUAAGUGUUGGGGGGUUUCCGCCCCUCAGUGCUGCAGCUAACGCAUUAAGCACUCCGCCUGGGGAGUACGGUCGCAAGACUGAAACUCAAAUGAAUUGGCGGGU